GACGAACGCUGGCGGCGUGCUUAACACAUGCAAGUCGAACGGAAAGGCCCUGCUUUUGUGGGGUGCUCGAAUGGCGAACGGGUGGGUAACACGUGAGUAACCUGCCCUUGACUUUGGGAUAACUACAGGAAACUGGGGCUAAUACCGGAUAGGAGCUCCUGCUGCAUGGUGGGGGUUGGAAAGUUUCGGCGGUUGGGGAUGGACUCGCGGCGUAUCAGCUUGUUGGUGGGGUGGUGGCUUACCAAGGCUUUGCCGGGUAGCCGGCCUGUGAGGGUGACCGGCAACAUUGGGACUGAGAUACGGCCCAGACUCCUACGGGAGGCAGCAGUGGGGAAUAUUGCACAAUGGGCGGAAGCCUGAUGCAGCAACGCCGCGUGCGGGAUGACGGCCUUCGGGUUGUAAACCGCUUUCGCCUGUGACGAAGCGUGAGUGACGGUAAUGGGUAAAGAAGCACCGGCUAACUACGUG
rnacentral:rRNA from 1 species